GACGAACGCUGGCGGCGUGCUUAACACAUGCAAGUCGAACGGAAAGGCCCUGCUUUUGUGGGGUGCUCGAGUGGCGAACGGGUGAGUAACACGUGAGUAACCUGCCCUUGACUUUGGGAUAACUUCAGGAAACUGGGGCUAAUACCGGAUAGGAGCUCCUGCUGCAUGGUGGGGGUUGGAAAGUUUCGGCGGUUGGGGAUGGACUCGCGGCUUAUCAGCUUGUUGGUGGUGUAGUGGCUUACCAAGGCUUUGACGGGUAGCCGGCCUGAGAGGGUGACCGGCCACAUUGGGACUGAGAUACGGCCCAGACUCCUACGGGAGGCAGCAGUGGGGAAUAUUGCACAAUGGGCGGAAGCCUGAUGCAGCAACGCCGCGUGCGGGAUGACGGCCUUCGGGUUGUAAACCGCUUUCGCCUGUGACGAAGCGUGAGUGACGGUAAUGGGUAAAGAAGCACCGGCUAACUACGUGCCAGCAGCCGCGGUGAUACGUAGGGUGCGAGCGUUGUCCGGAUUUAUUGGGCGUAAAGGGCUCGUAGGUGGUUGAUCGCGUCGGAAGUGUAAUCUUGGGGCUUAACCCUGAGCGUGCUUUCGAUACGGGUUGACUUGAGGAAGGUAGGGGAGAAUGGAAUUCCUGGUGGAGCGGUGGAAUGCGCAGAUAUCAGGAGGAACACCAGUGGCGAAGGCGGUUCUCUGGGCCUUUCCUGACGCUGAGGAGCGAAAGCGUGGGGAGCGAACAGGCUUAGAUACCCUGGUAGUCCACGCUGUAAACGGUGGGUACUAGGUGUGGGGUCCAUUCCACGGGUUCCGUGCCGUAGCUAACGCUUUAAGUACCCCGCCUGGGGAGUACGGCCGCAAGGCUAAAACUCAAAGGAAUUGACGGGGCCCCGCACAAGCGGCGGAGCAUGCGGAUUAAUUCGAUGCAACGCGUAGAACCUUACCUGGGUUUGACAUGGAUCGGGAGUGCUCAGAGAUGGGUGUGCCUCUUUUGGGGUCGGUUCACAGGUGGUGCAUGCCUGUCGUCAGCUCGUGUCGUGAGAUGUUGGGUUAAGUCCCGCAACGAGCGCAACCCUUGUUCACUGUUGCCAGCACGUUAUGGUGGGGACUCAGUGGAGACCGCCGGGGUCAACUCGGAGGAAGGUGGGGAUGACGUCAAGUCCUCAUGCCCCUUAUGUCCAGGGCUUCACGCAUGCUACAAUGGCUGGUACAGAGAGUGGCGAGCCUGUGAGGGUGAGCGAAUCUCGGAAAGCCGGUCUCAGUUCGGAUUGGGGUCUGCAACUCGACCUCAUGAAGUCGGAGUCGCUAGUAAUCGCAGAUCAGCAACGCUGCGGUGAAUACGUUCCCGGGGCU
rnacentral:rRNA from 1 species